rnacentral:lncRNA from 1 species
GUUAAAUCCCCAGUAUACCCACCCCCUCCCACAGCAAAAAAAGGAUUUUGACAGGUAGAGAUAGAAAAGUGUACAAAGCACAGAGGUAGGUCAGUAAGGCAAGAGUGUGAGUACAUUAAAUAACAGAAGAUGUACUGCUGGCUGCUAUAACAUCCCUCAAUGGUUCCAUUCUGGAUAUAAGGGGACUGUCUCUCCAACUCUUGAGAGAGUUGGGCUAAAGUUCUCAUCUGCUGGGGGAGCAGGGUAUGUGCAGGAGAGGGCAAGACCAGUAGAGAAGCAGCAGAAAGCUAAGGAUGGAGGCUGAAUCCCUAAAACUCAAUCUUCUCAGAUCAAUAUAACAAAGCAAACACCUGCUAACCAUGAGAUUGCUGUAGAGAGUAUCCCAGAAACCCCAACCAGCUUCAGGACACAGAAUCCCCAUGAUGAUUACACAGCAUUACACAGCCACCACUAGGUGGUGCCAAACCCAAGUUCAGACCUGGAUAGAUCAGACAGGUGCAGCUGGAUCCUGAGACCUCCAGACUGGCUGGCUGUGUCAGCUGGCUCUCAGGAACUUCACAACAGUGUAAUCACAUGGCUUAUAACAGUGGCUCUCAAAAGUGUGGUCCUCAUACCAUUAGCAGCACCCUGUACCUGCUAGAAAUGCAGAUUCUCAGGCCCUACCUGGACCCACUGAGCCAGAAACCCUGGGGGCAGGGCCCAGUAAUCCGUGCUUCAACAAGCUCUCCAGGAUGCAUGCUAAAGUUGAGAACCCCUGCCUGAUGCAUGUGAAUGUCUGGACUCCAUUUCUAAUGGUAUGGCAGGGUUUCAUCAAACCACUGUCUUUGGACAAAUCAGUCCCAUCUUUAAGGGCCAAUAAAAUGAGAAAAGAGGUAGUUGGAAAAGAAUGAGCUAUCAUCAAGGUCCCUGCAGAUGUAACAUACUAUAUUUUGUCAGUUCACUAAUAGGGGAGAUGUUUACAAUUUUCCUGUUCAAAUGGAUUGGUGUUGUUGGCCUUCAUGGCUCUUGUUGAAAGCGUUCAGUGUGGUGUAUCUGAAUUCUAAUGGCUAAUUUACAAACACCAUACCUACCCAUGAUUCAGCUUCCCAAGCUAGUAAUAUUGAUGCCGUAUAAGUAAUCCCAAUGGAACAGGGGUCAAAACACAGGUUUUGUAGGAAUAAACCCAACAAGAGUGCCUGCAAUGUAUUUCUUGUCUCUGUCAUGGUAACACAACCAGAACAAGAUCUUCCAUCAAAUUGAAAUUCUAAACACAGGCAGCCAGAAUUGAUUUAAAUGAUUAAAUCCUAGAACAACAACUUUCAAAUAAACCUCUCAUCCAGAACCUACUUAAAAGACUUAAUAAUGACAGUCAAUGCUUAAAGGUAAAUCAAAUAUGUAAGCAAUCUCUGCUUUGCAAAUCAGCAGUCUAAAACUUGGAGAUAUACAAGCUGGGGGAAAAAAUGAGCUAUGCCUCAAGAAAUCAGACUCAGGAUGGACGAUGAAGUUAAAAAAUAAUCAGCCAUCUGUUUGCCGUGCUGCC